CCGGCGGGACGGGGCGGGGCCGGAAGUGGAGGUAGAAGGCGGUGGCUGAGGCGGUUCCGGAGGUUCUGGUGUCGGAGUUGGUGCAGGCAGGUGCUAUGGGCCGGCUUGAGGCACUCUGAGGGGACGCGGGGCUGGGCCAUGGCCGGCGCUCGGGCCGCCGCCGCCACCGCCUCGGCGGGGUCCUCGGCCUCUUCGGGCAACCCGCCGCCACAGGAGCCGGGGCUUGGGGAGCUGCUGGAGGAGUUCUCCCGGACUCAGUACCGGGCCAAGGACGGCAGCGGGACCGGCGGCUCUAAGGUUGAACGCAUUGAGAAGAGAUGUCUGGAGCUGUUUGGCCGAGACUACUGUUUCAGCGUGAUUCCAAACACGAACGGGGAUAUCUGCGGCCACUAUCCCCGGCACAUCGUGUUCCUGGAGUAUGAGAGUUCUGAGAAGGAGAAAGACACGUUUGAGAGUACCGUACAGGUGAGCAAGUUGCAAGACCUCAUCCACCGCAGCAAGAUGGCCCGGUGCAGAGGACGGUUUGUCUGCCCAGUAAUCCUGUUCAAGGGCAAGCACAUUUGCAGGUCGGCCACACUGGCUGGAUGGGGAGAGCUGUAUGGACGCUCAGGCUACAACUAUUUUUUCUCAGGGGGUGCAGAUGAUGCCUGGGCAGAUGUGGAGGACGUCACGGAGGAGGACUGUGCUCUUCGAAGUGGUGACACACAUCUUUUUGAUAAGGUCAGAGGCUAUGACAUCAAGCUGCUUCGAUACCUGUCAGUCAAAUACAUCUGUGACCUGAUGGUGGAGAACAAGAAGGUGAAGUUUGGCAUGAAUGUAACCUCCUCUGAGAAGGUGGACAAAGCCCAGCGCUAUGCCGACUUCACUCUCCUCUCCAUCCCAUAUCCAGGCUGUGAAUUUUUCAAGGAAUAUAAAGAUCGGGAUUACAUGGCAGAAGGGCUCAUAUUUAACUGGAAGCAGGACUACGUUGAUGCCCCACUGAGCAUCCCUGACUUCCUGACUCACUCUCUGAACAUUGACUGGAGCCAGUAUCAGUGUUGGGACCUGGUGCAACAAACACAAAACUACCUGAAGCUGCUGCUUUCCUUAGUUAACAGCGAUGAUGACAGCGGGCUGCUGGUACACUGUAUCUCAGGCUGGGAUCGGACCCCCCUCUUCAUCUCCCUCCUGCGCCUUUCCUUAUGGGCUGAUGGGCUCAUCCACACGUCCCUGAAGCCCGCUGAGAUCCUCUACCUCACUGUGGCCUAUGACUGGUUCCUCUUUGGGCACAUGUUGGUAGAUCGGCUCAGCAAAGGGGAGGAGAUUUUCUUCUUCUGCUUCAAUUUUUUGAAGCAUAUUACCUCCGAGGAGUUCUCUGCUCUGAAGACCCAGAGGAGGAAGAGUUUGCCAGCCCGGGAUGGAGGCUUCACCCUGGAAGACAUCUGCAUGCUGAGACGAAAGGACCGUGGCAGCACCACCAGCCUUGGCAGCGACUUCUCCCUGGUCAUGGAGAAUUCCCCAGGAGCCACUGGGAGCUUCACCUAUGAGGCCGUGGAGUUGGUCCCAGCAGGAGCGCCGACUCAGGCAGCUUGGAGGAAGAGCCACUCAUCCUCUCCACAGAGUGUCCUCUGGAACCGGCCACAACCCUCAGAGGACCGCUUGCCUUCCCACCAGGGGCUGGUGGAAGCCAGGUCUUCCAGCUCCUCAUCCUCAAACCAUUCUGAUAACUUUUUCAGGAUGGGUAGCAGUCCCCUGGAGGUCCCCAAACCCAGAUCAGUGGACCAUCCCCUGCCCGGAUCCUCUCUCUCCACAGACUAUGGCAGCUGGCAGAUGGUAACGGGCUGUGGCAGUAUUCAGGAGCGGGCUGUCCUGCACACAGACUCCUCUCUCCCUUUCAGCUUCCCGGAUGAGCUCCCUAACAGUUGUCUCCUCUAAAAACCAUCCACUGGUGUCUCAGGUGCACCCAGAGGGAAAGCUGCUGGACUGUAACUAUAGAAGAUUCUAUUUCUGUAUCAGCCUUUGCCUGACAUGAGAAUCGUUUGAAGGCAGAACAGUAGGAUAGUGAAGGUAGGUGUAUGGUGGAGGCCAGAGCCAGAGUGGUGCUGGGUUAGCCCAAAGCUGUGCUCCUGAGCAGAAUCUAGGAUGACUUGCCGUCUCUACCCGCCUUGUCUUCUGUUUUUGCCUCUGGGCAGGAAUAAGAAUUGGAUGGGGAUUCUAGAUCCCACACCUACAAAACCCUGAGUUUCCAGCCCCUACAAUGUGUCCACCUGACUGGAGCAGCUGCCUCUGGGGAAACCACCUGCCCCUGGCCUGUUCUGCCGCUUCAUGGAUGUCAGGCAGGAGAAAGCCUCCGGUGGCCGGGGGAGCAAGACCUGCUCCUCAGCUGUGGUGCCUGAGGGCCCCUCAGCAAGCCUUCCCUUCACCUCCAUACCAUGGGCUGGAUGAAUGGCACAUGCUGGGGCCUCACCGCCAGCAUCGCAAUCCAGCUUAUCCCCACCCAUGUUGGUGGGUUGGAGGCUUGCAGCCCUGAGUGAUCGAGAGACUCGGCUGCAGGAGGUGCGCUCAGCCUUCUUGGCUGCGUA